UUUUUCAUGGCUCACACUGGUCACACUUGCUUGUGCAAUAUGGUAUUUGAAGUCACUUCAAAACAGCCCCUGAAAUGUGCUGCUGUAUAUUUAAGAAGCCUGACACAAAGGCUUCAGGAACAGACUGGAAGAAACCAAUGGCACCCUCUGAUGUGGAUAUUUCUUGCAGAUAUAUUCCUUGAUCUUCCUAUUUGGACAUGUGGUAAUGAAGUAAAAAAGUCAGCAGAGUCUACCUCCACUAUCUCAUUCUUAAGACUUUUGAGAGUAAAAUAAGGGAGCAUUUCAAGAGAUUCCUGCUGCAUCCACCAGCUAAUCCCUGGCCUUGAGUGUGCUGUGAAGCGCAUUACAGUGUGUCCAAAUAAUGAGAAUUACUGCUGGCAAUGAAAGGAGGAGCUUAGCAUCAAGGACAACAUCCAGCCUUAUCAUGUUCCCAUGCAGUCUGUUGAAGAUAACAAAAAGAGAUUGCUCCAACCAACAAUUUUUGUGCAUCUCUAGUGUUUAAUAGUCUCAAAAAUGAUCCCAAAGGCUCUUGGAUGGCAAAGACCUUUGCAUACAGUAAAUAUUUUAAUAGCUCAUUCUCCAGAUUUGUUCCUGGCAGAAAAUACUUACAUUUUUUUCCUAAGUUUGUUUUGAACCUGACUGUAUUUAUUUUGGGAUGAGGAGGCCUGCUAGAUGCUUUUUUCCAUUCCUGAGACUGGACUCUGAUGAAGCUGAUGAAACACUAGAAGUGGUAGCACUUUGUUCAUCUUCUGGUUUGUCUCCUGCACUAGGCUGAGCUGAAAGUUGAGUACAGGCUUUACCUUAAGCCUUCCAGGUGGCAACCAACACGUGGAGUCCCUGGUCUCUCAAAUUAAGCCCGCAGCCUUUCCCAGGGACAUGGUGGCAUCCCCAGCACUGCACAGCUCAGCGCUCAACAGCAGCAGGAAGAAAGGCAAGAUCUCUGCAGUGCUGCAGCACACAGCAUUUCUUCCAUGAGGCGCAUGAGGUUUUGUGGUUCAGAAACAUUUUCAGGACCUGGUUUUCUAUUCCCUGGAGUUUCUACUCGCAAAUCAGACAGUCAUAUGCCGAACUGCUUGGAGAAAAGAAGCUGAAGCCUUAAUUUUAGAGUGAAAAAUGUAUUUCCGGAUAGAGUCCGUAGAUUCACGUCUAAUUCCAUGUUGUGUAUUAACACACACAAACUGGUGGCACAGCUUGCUUUGUGGAGACAAUGCAAGGCAGAAGUGAGCUGCCGUUGAAGCCAAAGUACUGCUUCUGCGGGCCACGAGGGAAUCGGGAUCAUCUUCAGGAAUGGAGGCGAAUGAAGUCCUUGGCCAGGUUUCUAGUGCAGCUAUUUCAUUCCCACGAUGUUUCUCUUGGGGCUGCCUCUCCUAAGGGAAAACUCCUACUGCUGCCUGCCUCCUGUUUCACAAAAUGAGGGGGUAUUUUUCAGCCAGCUCAAGCCUCUGAGCAGGUUUACCGUAAGGCUGUGCUAGCAGAGCAGAAGCAAUGGCCCAGGGGCUGGCUGAAGCAAGGGAAGGGCAGGAGCUGGGCAGUGCAUGCUCAGAGGAAAGCCCAGGGUGCCACAGCUGCACAGCACAAGCUGGUUUCUGCAGGAAACUAAUGCUUCCCCCCUGCACCUGUGAAGAAGUUCAGCAGAAGUUCAGCAGAAGUUCCAAGCUGACCAUCAGACAAAAUCUUUACUUUCUCAAAUUUAGUCAGGACAUGCCCUGGUACAUGCUGUCCUUAAGGAUGUCUGAAUACAGAGGCCAUCCCCUCUACUGGAAUCAGCCCUGGCCACUUCUCCAGUGAAAAUCAUAAACCUGCAGAAGAGGGUAACCACAAGGCGCCUUCACACACCAGUGCAGAUGACAGAAGUAAUAUGCAACUUCUUAAAAACAGAGUAAAGGGGUAGACGACAUUCACCUUGGCAUCACAGCACUAUGAAGAUGGACAGCUACUGCUCUCCUCUCUGACUGCACCUUCUUGCAACCGGUUCUUUGUCAAACAGACAUUGACUUAUCCCUGAGUGAAUACUGUACAGUUUAUCAGAGAGUAGAUGAAAAGGCAAGAAGGUUCAGGAACGAGGACAACAAACCAGAUGUCAUCACUAUUACUUGAGACUCUUCUUUCAAAGGUCACAGAUGCUAGGAGGCCAGGUGCAUCUUCUGUUUUUGCGCCAGGGAUUCAACCAUCCUGUUAGAGGUAUCACCAAAAUGAUAUUUCGGAGAUAUUCCACAUUCCCUACACCUCUGCCAGCUCGGGGCAGGAGUCAGCCUGAAGUUGCAGCAGGUGUUCAGCACAAGCCUCUCUGCUUAGCACUUCCCAGCAUAGAGACCAGCUUUGCUUAUUUAUACUUUGGUGCCUUCCUCAAGGAUUUAUCUCCAGGCCACCUCAAGCCAUGGAAAGGGAACAUGUGCCCCCCAAGCAGGACAAAGCAGGGCAGUUAUCCCUCCACCCGUGGUACUCCUACAGCUGUUGUCCUCAUUCCCUCUACCUGCUUGCCCUCAGACCACAGUCCCUGUCUUCUCCACUCAACAGACAUUGUCACUCAGUCCAUAAAAUCCCUCUGUGGAUGUUAAAUACCCUUUGGUUUUGUUUCUCUAUUUCUCAGGCAAUGUUGUUGUGGAUGGAAAAUGUUCUUUUAUCUCCUCUCUGUCCUCUCUAGUUUGGUUUCUCUCCAUUUACUCCUUUUGGUGGCCAAGUUGCAAUCCAGGACAUAUUACCUCCCACUCUUCUCACCUUCCUGCACCUGUCUGCAAAAGCACCUCAUCUGCUUUGAACUGUUCCUGAAAUAAAGGUACUGGUUCUGCUAGCAAAGGAGAUGCCAAGUGAGACUUCUGAGCAGCUUAUGUCAGAAUGUGAUUUAAAUAAUGCCUGCCUUUCCUUGGCACCAGGUGAUGCUUCAUGGGACUGAGCUUCCGAAUGCAGAGCUGGGAAGGAUGAAAUAUAACACUAACCUUUAAGGCAUCUCCAGAAACUCUAAAUGUGUCACUGAUGAAAUGUCAAGAGCAGUGCUCUUAGGUACUUUAUCUAGGCUGUAUGAAGUGAAAAUCCAAGUGCUUUGCUACAUGUGCUAAUCGAUACGUAUCACUGAAUCAAAUCAUUAUGUAAUACGUAUGCCUUAUUCUCCCUCUUCUCCAUAUGCACACUUCUAGGUGUUAUCAUUUUAAAAUGAAUGACAUUUAUUUGAAAAUAUGAUGAGGGAUAUGUGCAUGACUGUAGUAUAUGGCUUUGGACUCAGUCAUCUGAGCGUGCAUGAGCAGAAAAAUGUCAAAGCUUCAUUUAAAAGUAUUCUGAGACAUUUCUCUUGUGAGAACCCCUGAAUUAGUCAAUGCAGGGACCAAGAGCCACAUCCAGGAUGUGCUUCAAGAGCCCCCCAGAAAGCCGAGAGCAGUGCUGAGAGCCAGAACUCCUUUGGCACCAAUCUCUGCAGGGCUCAGAAAGGUCAGGGAAGAGAUUGUAUGACAUGUUGCCACUCCCAGAAAAAUGAACUCAAUGGUCAGGAGGUGUCUGUGUUCCUGAAUGGCCGUAUCAAGCACGAGUGUAUGAUCAGAUUAACAGACCUUUUAUGGUCCUAACCAAGCAGAUUGCGUGUGUGUACACUGGUCGUCAGCAUGGGAAAUUCCUUUGGCUUUCAGGGGCUAUUUAAGUGCAUGAAGUUAAGCCAAGGUGUGAUUGCAGUCUUCACAGCGGUUUUGCAUGGCCUCCAUUCCAAAACUAAGUUAAUGCAAUCGGGUCCUUGAGCCCACAUUGAAAUCGGAUCUUCAACUGCUUCCACAUGUCCACACUCUUGUCAUACAACUUGUGCAACCGGAGAGGUAAAAGCACCUCUCACACAAGCAAAGUAAUGGCCAGAAUUUACAUGGGAGAGUGAAAGGAAUUGAAAAAUGUGUUAUCGUGAUAGCACCAUCUUCAAAUCAGUAGCAGCUGAGAAUGAAACAUUUUCUGAAAAGAUUUAGUGUUGGUUUUCCCAGAUAUUUGCAAAACUGUGUUUGAAUCAAACACCGGAUCCAAUGGCUAACCCAGAUUUCUGUGUAGCAGGCUGCUGUAAUUUCCAUCUCUUCCUUUGGUCUCAUUCUUGGACUUUGUACAUCCAUUACAUCCAACAGCCCAAAUUACAACUAGCACUGAUGGUACCUUUUCUGGGUAUAGCACUGAGGCUCCUAGGACCGAAAAAUGGCAAGGACAGAGCUGAAUUUAUACUGGUCAUGCAAGAUCUCAGUUCCCCAGGACAACUUACAAAACACCUGAAUUUCAGUGCACGUGCUCUGCAGACAUUUGAUAAUCCCUUAAAACACAUCAGUUCAGUACCAAGGACUGAGGGUAAGUAGCUUGUAUUGAGGAAUGGAUGGUAAAACUGGUACAGUGCUGCUGCGAACUUUGAAGCAAGGCAUCCAGCUGACAGGCCCAUGGAGAAAAGGUAAUUUAUUAAAAAGUUAACUAACACCUUGCCAUCAACAGAAAUUCAUAUGUUCAGCCUCUAACAACACCAGCUUCUCAGACUGGCUUCUUCUCCCAUAAGUACAGAGACAGCAAGAGUAAAUAGCUAUAUUACAUGGAAGAAAUGUGAUAGGCAACAGUGUUUGUAUAUAUAUACGUGUGAAUACGAUGCAUAUAUAAUAAAUGUAUACACUGCAUGUGUAAACAGCAGAUUUGGAAACACUUAAAUGCAACUAGCAUUCUAGUAGAGAGCUACCAUGUGUCAUUCAUGCAUGCGUUAAACUUCACAUACACACCUCGGCUGUUUACUGCACUGAUGCUAGGAUAAGUUCCCAGCCUGAUUGCUCGGCUCCACAGACCGGGACCAAAACUCUGCUCUGCUCCUGUAGAGUAAGAGAUGCCCAUGAGUCUGAAAUUUUUAAAACAGAAUUUGGAAUUGACAGUAGCAAAAAAUGGUGCUUCUAAAAUAUUUAUGGAAACAUUUUACUUCAAGCAUUUGGAGGCUGGUCAGGCUUCUGAAAAU